UAGGGAAUCUUCGGCAAUGGACGAAAGUCUGACCGAGCAACGCCGCGUGAGUGAAGAAGGUUUUCGGAUCGUAAAACUCUGUUGUUAGAGAAGAACAAGGACGUUAGUAACUGAACGUCCCCUGACGGUAUCUAACCAGAAAGCCACGGCUAACUACGUGCCAGCAGCCGCGGUAAUACGUAGGUGGCAAGCGUUGUCCGGAUUUAUUGGGCGUAAAGCGAGCGCAGGCGGUUUCUUAAGUCUGAUGUGAAAGCCCCCGGCUCAACCGGGGAGGGUCAUUGGAAACUGGGAGGCUUGAGUGCAGAAGAGGAGAGUGGAAUUCCAUGUGUAGCGGUGAAAUGCGUAGAUAUAUGGAGGAACACCAGUGGCGAAGGCGGCUCUCUGGUCUGUAACUGACGCUGAGGCUCGAAAGCGUGGGGGGCAAACAGG
rnacentral:rRNA from 1 species